GUAGCCUAAAACAAGAGCAAACCAAAAAAGGAAAACUCCAUCACGUGUUUUCAACAAGAUUUCCUGGAGAUUACUUAAGAGGUACCAUUUUAUACCUUCACAUAUAGACUAUCAAAUGUAUUUGAAAGCAGUUCAAGCAACAACAUCCACGUUCUUUGAAGAAAUGUUUGUUAUUUCAAGUUAAAUAAAUGCAUUUUACGAGGAAAUAGAAUUAUGACAAUAAAACAGCUCUUCCCACACUCAGUCAGCAGUUCCUUCUUUGAACCUCAGUGAAGUGCUCAGCUUCGGAAAGGAUUAGUGUUCAGAGGGCUGGCUAAAUAAGCAGUCCACCCACAGUGUCAGGGCUCCUCAAAGGCAGACUGGUGGCUAAAGGAAUUAUUCUAGUAAAUCGGUGCGCUGUUCUCCCCUGGAGACACCUUAUGCGGGCACAGCAGCAGUGCGCUGUGAGUUUCCAGGCUUUGCAGGAGAUGCACCGAGCAGACGACACUGCGGGUGCUGGGUCUGGCGACCACCCUGGGCGCCCUGCCUUGAGCAGGGCAGCACAGCACCGCCUCUGCAACACCUGCACAAACAGGUGGCCCGGAGCAGCAAUAAAUUCUGGCUGAUCCGAGAGACAAAAAGCAUUCCAGCACUAGAGGAAGAAAAGAACCCGAAGAAGAACGCUCAGACGAGAGCACUAUAUACUCGUUCCAGAGGGGAGCUGUUCAUGGGCGACACAGCUGCACGCAGAAAAGUCAUACCAGAAUAGUCACCAAGCUCACUUAUCACUGGACAUCAGAAUUAUGUGAGUGAUGACACGAUUUCAUCUCACUGUGGUGUGAUGCAAAUGGAAGAUGAGAUCUUUGGCCAGAAUAAACCCAGAACAUCACUGCUUUUGGAGCUGCUUAGCGGGAGUGUGAGGCUCACAGCAUGUAUUCAGCAAUAAAUAUAAAAAAAAUUUUGCAA